rnacentral:rRNA from 1 species
GACGAACGCUGGCGGCGUGCCUAAUACAUGCAAGUUGAGCGCUGAAGGUUGGUCCUUGUACCAACUGGAUGAGCAGCGAACGGGUGAGUAACGCGUGGGGAAUCUGCCUUUGAGCGGGGGACAACAUUUGGAAACGAAUGCUAAUACCGCAUAAAAACUUUAAACACAAGUUUUAAGUUUGAAAGAUGCAAUUACAUCACUCAAAGAUGAUCCCGCGUUGUAUUAGCUAGUUGGUGAGGUAAAGGCUCACCAAGGCGAUGAUACAUAGCCGACCUGAGAGGGUGAUCGGCCACAUUGGGACUGAGACACGGCCCAAACUCCUACGGGAGGCAGCAGUAGGGAAUCUUCGGCAAUGGACGAAAGUCUGACCGAGCAACGCCGCGUGAGUGAAGAAGGGUUUCGGAUCGUAAAACUCUGUUGGUAGAGAAGAACGUUGGUGAGAGUGGAAAGCGCAUCAAGUGACGGUAACUACCCAGAAAGGGACGGCUAACUACGUG